AGAGUUUGAUCCUGGCUCAGGACGAACGCUGGCGGCGCGCUUAACACAUGCAAGUCGUGCGAUACCUCGAGCGAGUCUUACGACAAGCUCAAGGUAGAGCGGCGGACGGGUGAGUAACACGUGAGUAGCUGUCCUAAGGAGGGGGAUAACGCCUGGAAACGGGUGCUAAAACCCCAUAUGCCUCGCAAGAGGUGAAAGUGUAUUACUGCAGCCUUAGGGUGUGCUCACGGCCUAUCAGCUAGUUGGUGAGGUAAUGGCUCACCAAGGCUAAGACGGGUAGCCGGCCUGAGAGGGUGUACGGCCACACUGGAAUUGAGAUACGGUCCAGACUCCUACGGGAGGCAGCAGUGGGGAAUCUUGGGCAAUGGGCGAAAGCCUGACCCAGCGACGCCGCGUUGGGGAUGAAGCCCUUCGGGGUGUAAACCCAUGUUGUAGGGGACGAAGAAAGUGACGGUACCCUACGAGGAAGCCCCGGCUAACUACGUGCCAGCAGCCGCGGUAAGACGUAGGGGGCGAGCGUUGUCCGGAAUUACUGGGCGUAAAGGGCACGCAGGCGGUGCGCCAAGUCGAGGGUGUAAAGUUACGGCUCAACCGUGACAUUGCAAUCGAUACUGGCGCGCUGGAGUGCGGGAGAGGGAAGUGGAAUUCCCGGUGUAGCGGUGAAAUGCGUAGAUAUCGGGAGGAACGCCAGUGGCGAAGGCGGCUUCCUGGCCCGCGACUGACGCUCAUGUGCGAAAGCCAGGGGAGCGAACCGGAUUAGAUACCCGGGUAGUCCUGGCCGUAAACGAUGGGUGCUAGGUGUAGGCGCGUCAAGCGUCUGUGCCGAAGUUAACGCGAUAAGCACCUCGCCUGGGGAGUACGGUCGCAAGGCUGAAACUUAAAUGAAUUGACGG
rnacentral:rRNA from 1 species